AAAACAAACGUCGGCAUUGCUUUUGAUUCAGAGGCUCCAGCACGGUUCAUUUACUCCCAGCCUGGAUUUUGCAAGAGGAAGCAGGUACAUCAGCGGAGGCACGCGUGUGAACUCUGCUAUUCUAACCCAAGGCGUUCCAGACCAAGCAAAACCAAACAACAACUGCGAGACCUCGGGCCUGAUACUGAAGUGCCAGGAGCUGUCCCAGUGAACACAGCUUCUGGAAGAGCCUAGGGA
rnacentral:lncRNA from 12 species